UGGGAGUCUGUGCCAACUGCAAAUCUGACUUUACUUUUAAUUGCCUAUGAAAAUAAGGUCUCUCAUUUAUUUUCCUCUCCCUGCUUUCUUUCAGACUGUGGCUUUACCUCGGGUAAGUAAGCCCUUCCUUUUCCUCUCCCUCUCUCAUGGUUCUUGACCUAGAACCAAGGCAUGAAGAACUCACAGACACUGGAGGGUGGAGGGUGGGAGAGACCAGAGCUACCUGUGCACAGGUACCCACCUGUCCUUCCUCCGUGCCAACAGUGUCCUACCAGCAAGGGGUCCUGUCUGCCACCAUCCUCUAUGAGAUCCUGCUAGGGAAGGCCACCCUGUAUGCUGUGCUGGUCAGCGCCCUUGUGUUGAUGGCCAUGGUCAAGAGAAAGGAUUUCUGAAGGCAGCCCUGGAAGUGGAGUUAGGAGCUUCUAACCCGUCAUGGUUUCAAUACACAUUCUUCUUUUGCCAGCGCUUCUGAAGAGCUGCUCUCACCUGUCUGCAUCCCAAUAGAUAUCCCCCUAUGUGCAUGCACACCUGCACACUCACGGCUGAAAUCUCCCUAACCCAGGGGGACCUUAGCAUGCCUAAGUGACUAAACCAAUAAAAAUGUUCUGGUC
rnacentral:lncRNA from 1 species